GGUUAAAGAGUGGGAAUACCAGAAAAGGAAGUGAAUGUGAGGUACCAGUAAAAGUAAAGGAAAAGUGAUUUAGAUGAAGUGAAUGAAUAUUUACGAGGUUAACGCGAAGAAAGUGGCUGGCAGGCGGUAUGUAAGCACGAAGACCGGCAACAGGCAGAAAGGACACAUUAACAUAUGACGGGUGUCAGCGGAGUCAUUUGGAAGACGUUGAGGAAAGCAUGCAGCCAUGUAUAUUUAGCUGUAUGUAGGUGGGUAAUCACAGACCUCUAAGAAACUAAAAGUAUUGUUAACUUGAAAGGGCUGACAGUGAAACAACAAGAAAAUAUGCAGAAAAUAAUGUUUCCCGAACUCAAAGGGAUGCCUGCCACAACAACAGCUGAAAAGCACAUAAGUAACAGAUAAAGAACCUCGAACUCCACCUGCCUUACAGCCUAAUUCUUUCCCUUCAAUUUUUAUUCCUUCGUAACUAACGGGCGCACGCGUGAGUCAUUGUCGUCACACCUUACCACUUCAACUCAAACUGUAGCCCUGAAAUCAGCUGAAAUGGAAGCAAUAAGGAAAAGAGAAGAGAAAACCCUUGGAAAAAUCAACAAAUAUGGCGAAUAUUAGCCAGAAAUGGGUAAAAGUUUCAUUUAUGAAAAAAAUUACAGCAACCAAAACAACAACAUGAACAAGUACAACAGCGUUGCAUGCGCACCCACCGAGUUUUCGAAAAUCCGAUAUAGUUAUAUGCCACACCUAACCCCGACUGUAAGAGGUCGCCUGCAGUGAGUAAUAUGGCAGUGGUCUAACAGAAAAUAACUGAAAACCAUUUUCAAUGAAGCCAACGAAAACUCUGAACUUUCAGUUAUUUCGGAAGAAGGGACUAUGUUUAGUGGCAAUAUCGAUGCGAGAAGAAAUUCAGCUUCAGCCUGAACUCAGUGCUGACUUUUUACCUGGUAGCUGGUCGCACCUAUGGUAAUACAACACCGAUGAAUCUAUAAAGUGGAGGUCGCUAUACACUAUUUUGUCCGCAAAGAGGUCAUGUUCUUCUUAGUUAUGGCAAAGAACAAAUACUCGCGCCUAGUCAUCCUCCAAUAAGUACUAGAUAAAUAAAACUGUGGAAGGCGUGAUAAUUUCUGGACUGCUGAUGCUUGCAGCGUGUCUGCGAGACUAAAGAUUCAUGGCAACAGCAGCUACCCAAGAAAACAUAGAGUGCAGUUGCCGGCUGCAGGCAGAGGACUGACCAGCAGACGAACUAGCGCAGGCAUAGACGUGUCUGCUGAGAGAACUUUUCAUUUCAUUAAAGUGUCAAACAGACUCACUUAUGUUUAGAUACUCCACUUCUUCUGCUUUGAACAGAGCUGUAGCUUUAUAAGAACCAAUUGACAUGCAUUUUGCAGUCGUCUCGCAAGUUCGCUGUUUACCUGCUCGCUUAUGAAUUUCUCUGCAAUCUCCGACAUACCAAAACAAACAAUGCUCUCUCUUGUCAUUUCAGCUUGAAUGCCGGACCGCUCUCUGAAAAUAAUAAAAACGAAAACACGCCGUUUUCGUAGAGACCGGCGCUGCAGAGAGCGCAUGUGCCCACCUUCGAGAGAGCUGUUUACUAUGUCAGCGCGGAAAUUUCCUGAGUUGAGUGGAUAUCUAUAAGACGUCGCACGACGGACGGUAUCACUGACCACGUUAACUUUCGUUAAGUAAACAAUUUUUGCAAAGCUAAAACAACAUUUUUGUUAACUGUAAUUCUACCUUGCCGCCUAACAGCCUGUGGUCGUUUUUAGUCGUAUUUCAACGUUCGCGUUUAACGGUAGACUAUAACGCUGGUGCUUAAAGUUGGCAGCAAGAAGUGUUCGACGUGAUAAGAAUCGAAAAACAGCAAAACACAUAGCAAAGGGAAACGAAAAAUUUGUGGUCUGAAACAGUUCCAUAAAAAUUAAAAAAUCGUAAGCAAAAGACUUGUGAAUAAGUGAAAACGCAAGUAAAAAAGGAUAAGCUUGUAAAAAAUGUCGACAUCUCAGUAUUAAUUAAAAAAUUAAAAUUUGUUGCGAAAUUGUAAAGCGCGCUGCUUUAGCGGCUUAGUAAAAACACAAGCAGAUACAAAUUACAAUUAAAUGACGCAAAAAAUUUAAUCCUCUUUAGCGCUCUCUACGCGUGUACCAGAUUGUGAAAAUAAAGUAUAAAAUACAGCUAGCCGACAUAAUUGCCACAGUUGAAAGCACACACUGCUACAACGCGCCUAGCCGUAAUCUGAGCUUGCGUUUGCGUUUAAGUUUUUUCCAGCACAACCUGACAUAACGAAGUGGACAGCCAAUAGUCCCGUGCGACUGUCACGCUUUGUUAUUAAUGAGUUUUCAAGAAACAAGCUCUCAUGCAUAAUGCGCGGCAAAGCGUUGCUAUUUAAUGCGCUUGGAUCGCCUGCUUGACGCGAAUGCGCUAUUUAUACCUCAUUAAGGUGUGAUAAAGCAUCGUUAUUUUCAUUUUUUGGCCGAAGUCUUUUAACAUCCUGCAAACAGUUAUUAACGCAUUGCACGCCAACUCUGGUGGAUAAUGAAAGGAAUAGAGGGGCGUUGAACAAUAUGAAAUACAAUACCGCCGCGUCGCGCGCUCAAAUCGAAAUGUUUCUCAGCUACUAUGUCAACGUACAUACCUGCUUGCAGUCAGCGCUGGUCACACAGAAAGCGUGCGCUCAAAUCCGGAGUGUGAUUGGUAGUGCAAAUAAAGGUAUGGCAAAAUCACAGAAGUCAAUGUGUUUAAAAGCAAGUGAAAAAAAAUACCCCAGGUGACAAUUAUAAUGACUGCAUUGAAAAACAUUUAUUAAGUGCAACUCAGAGCACGGCGCGUAUUCAAGCCAUAGCUUUCAUGCGCGCAACUAUUACUAUACAAUGCAUUGCUACAUUACUCACCUCAGAAAGCUUCACAAGUACCCUUUGUGUCGAGGUAAAUUUAUAUCGCGCUUCAAACAAACCACCUUAUAUCUGCGCUGAUGCUUAGAGAGACUGUUUUUGUCGCAAGUCUAAGAAAGUAAACUUGAAAAAAUCGUGAGUAAUAAGGAAAACAGAUCGAAAAAGGACUCCAGGCCAUGUCAAAUACCUACAAAACAAGCUGUGUAAAAUUUUUUUAUAAAGGCAAUUUUUGGUAUGCAAAUGUUUCCAAAUACAAACCUAGAAAGAGAAG